GGGGAUGUGGCUCAAGCAGUAGCGCGCUUGCCUGGCAAGCAUGCGGCCUGGGUUCGAUCCUCAGCACCA
rnacentral:tRNA from 1 species